UGGGGAAUUUUGGACAAUGGGCGAAAGCCUGAUCCAGCAAUGCCGCGUGUGUGAAGAAGGCCUUCGGGUUGUAAAGCACUUUUGUCCGGAAAGAAAUCCUUGGCUCUAAUACAGUCGGGGGAUGACGGUACCGGAAGAAUAAGCACCGGCUAACUACGUGCCAGCAGCCGCGGUAAUACGUAGGGUGCAAGCGUUAAUCGGAAUUACUGGGCGUAAAGCGUGCGCAGGCGGUUUGCUAAGACCGAUGUGAAAUCCCCGGGCUCAACCUGGGAACUGCAUUGGUGACUGGCAGGCUAGAGUAUGGCAGAGGGGGGUAGAAUUCCACGUGUAGCAGUGAAAUGCGUAGAGAUGUGGAGGAAUACCGAUGGCGAAGGCAGCCCCCUGGGCCAAUACUGACGCUCAUGCACGAAAGCGUGGGGAGCAAACAGGAUUAGAUACCCUGGUAGUCCACGCCCUAAACGAUGUCAACUAGUUGUUGGGGAUUCAUUUCCUUGGUAACGUAGCUAACGCGUGAAGUUGACCGCCUGGGGAGUACGGUCGCAAGAUUAAAACUCAAAGGAAUUGACGGGGUCAUAGCUGUUUCCU
rnacentral:rRNA from 1 species